AACUCUCUGCCGCCGGGCAGUGCGCGUUGGUUCCGUAUCGUUAGGCCUUAGAAGAUACGGGCGCCAGCGCUUUUUUGUUG
rnacentral:ncRNA from 1 species